rfam:Microgenomates (Curtissbacteria) bacterium GW2011_GWA2_41_24 TT56_C0026, whole genome shotgun sequence.
GCUGGUGUCUGUAGCGAUAUGGAACCACUCCUUCCCAUUUCGAACAGGAUAGUGAAACGUAUCAGCGGCGACAAUAGUGCCUGGGCAACUGGGUGCGAAGAUAGCUCGAUGCCAGCA